AACACACCUGAGGUAGUGAGGUCACCACCACGUGCACCGUCCAUUCUCACAUCGAGAUGAUUCAGCCACCACGGUAACCACGCGCUCCAGCCACUCACUCCCUCAGCUCAAGAAUACACCAACAUCCCGAACUGCAGGCAACAGGCGGGUGGAGAGAUCGGGGAGCCAGCUUGGAGAGCGGAGAGCGCACACCACCAGCGCAGUCGAGACUAAAACGGAAAUAACGAAUUAACUACCAAGGGGAUUGUCAUUUCCUUAACAUCCUUUCAAUCGUUAAUGACACAUCGUUAAAGGAGGCAAAACGAAAAACACAACAGAGAUUGAUUUAUUAUCCAUAGUUUACCGUUCCAGCGCGUGGAAAGAUGAAGACUAAAAACCUUGAGCAAAGCUUGUCUGAUUCCAGAGAAUUGGAUGGAUCGUAUGACCAGCUGACUGGUGUAACUUUGAGGGGCAAGGAGCUGAUCAAUGCUGCCUUGCCAAUCAGUGGGGCUCUGGCAAAGACCUCACCUCCAGUUUCACCUCUUGCCUGCUCACCAACGGUCGUCAAUGGGGAGACCCAAAUUAGAUGCAUCUAUUGAGCCAGCACUUGGAGACUUGCAAGAUGAUGUGAUGGAGUCCUGACUGACAGGCAGGCUUGAUACGGACGUCUCUGAGUGGAGGGAGACCUGGCACUCGGCAUAACAUUUUUACUAGACACAACUUUUACUUGUAUUGUCUUUUUUACUAUUGAAUUGAAUUGGUAUCUGUCAAUAUGGGGAGGGAGAAUCCCUGUGUAUUCUGCACCAGGAUCAGGGAACUCUUGUUGUAUACAGGACACCACACAAGAAAGUACAGAAUGACCACUCUGUUUGUCAAUGUAGCCCCAUUACCAGCAGACAAAAUGCAGAUAGGCACAGUAUCUGUAUCGGCUGUGAAUGACAAUGAAAGGUGCACAUUGUUAUAUUAGUAUAUCAGUAUCUAUGGUAUGAUGUCAAGUUUGGCUUCUGUCAUGGCCACCUGCAUUUCUAGAAGAUCAAGGCAAAAACCAAGGCCAAAUCAGCAGGUGCAGUUCCUUUUUAAACGCUGGCCUUCAUAGGCUGAAGGGAAUUUAACAUAGAACAGCAGGUCGAAUAAAAAGUAUGUCUUUACUCUUGUUUUGUGAAAAUGACAAUAGUUCAAUAUUUUUGCACUUCCUCUUUGUGGUCCAACACUGAUGAUGAGAUGUAACUCCACCUGGCUCCACCUUGGUUAGGCUGCCCUCUGUUGGUAUCAAUUGGACUGUACACGACAUUCACCAGUGCUGAAUUCCAAAUCAACCCCUGGCCAAGACCCUUGUUCCUAGUCAUUCCUGUAUAUUUGAGAGGAUUGGAUGGGAGUGUACAAAACGGCAACUUUUUCACCCAGCUAUUCAAAAGGCAAGAUGAAGAUAUUACCAUAUUGUUUAUAUCUAUCCAAUUAAUCCAAUCUACAGGAAUGCCCAAUUAGCAGACACUUAUUCAAAGCAAAGCGAUUUACAGUACAGGAGCAAGUUCAAAGUAUGUAUGUGUACUUGAUCCUUGUGAGAAUUAAACCAUGACCUUGGCAUUGUGUUCUUACCAACUGAGCCACACAUCAUUUGUGAAACCUUUGCCUUAAAAUCAUAUUUUCUUUAUUCAGAUGGAGCAGACUGAAUAGUAGAAAUGAACUGAGGUUAUGGUGGUGUGGCUAAACUGUAAUACUAAAUCUGAACCACCGCAUGUCACCAUAGUCUUAGUUUAGUGCAAUCAGAGUCAUACACAUCAGCUACACGUUGUGCUGGGUUCAUUUCCAGUCCUUCACUAACACACCAAAUUACACCAACCAGUUUCUCAUCAGGACUGUGAUGAGUUGCAUCAAGUGUGUUAGUGUAGGGCUGGAACAAAAGCAUACACACUGUAGCUACUUGGGACCAGGCUUGGUCCCCUAAAUAUAAGUAUAUUGUUAUUAUUAUUUAUUUUUUCAAUUUCACCUUGAUUUAACCAGGCAGCAGAGAUUUAAUAUCUGUUUCAGAUGGUUUCUCUCACUCCCACUGUCUCCGCUCUUCUCACUCCCUCUCUCUUUCUCCUGUUCCCCUUCCUCUGUCUCUCACUUCAAACCUCCUCUCGUGUUGCUGUACUCCUGUCCCCCUGACCUGCUCAAGUCCUGGAUUAAAAUCUACAGAUUCCAACCCGUUUUUUUGUUUGUAUCAGGCCUUAAAAGUAGACUCAGCGAUAUGAGAUAUACAGUAAAUUACUAUUAGCAAAUAGAAACAAACAAAGAAAGUGCAAAGUGAGAGAAUUUCCUCAGCAGUAGUUGUCAUGCAGCAAUCACAUUAGAGAAGUGUGAAGCGAUGUGUAUUUGCACAGAUGCUCUUUGUGGGUGCCUCAUAAUAUCUUUGGUUCACACUGUUGCUUGUGGUCACAUCCAGUGGUGUGGUGGAGGGUUAAUGCAUGUAGCCUAAACAGUGUUUACACAAAAAAAUUGACAUCUGUUGGCAAACAGAAGAUAGCCCUAUUUGGUAAAAGACCAAGUUCAUAUUAUGUCAAGAACAGCUCAACUAAGUAAAGAGAAAUGUCAGUCCAUCAUUACUUUAAGACACGAAGGUCAGUCAAUCUGGAAAAUGUCAAGAACUUUUAAAGUUUCUUCAAGUGCAGUCACAAAAACCAUCAAGCGCUAUGAGGAAACUAGGACUCAUGAGGACCGCGACAGGAAAGAAAGACCCAGAGUUACCUCUGCUGCAGAGGAUAAGUUCAUUAGAGUUACCAGCCUUGUUUAACUUGGGUCAAACAUUUUGUGUAGCCUUCCACAAGCUUCCCACAAUACGUUGGGUGAAUUUUGGCCCAUUCCUCCUGACAGAGCUGGUGUAACUAAGUCAGUUGAGUAUGCCUCAUUGCUAGCACAUGCUUUUUCAGUUCUGCCCACAGAUUGUCUAUAGGAUUUCAGGGCUUUCUGAUGGCCCCUCCAAUACCUAGACUUUGUUGUCCUUAUGCCAUU